CCAGAAGGACCUGCGGCACAAUAUCGGCAAGCAGCUCUGCCUCCGAUCCGGCUUUGGGCCGGUGGAGCUGGGAGACUGUCACUUCACAGGAAAGAACUCGCGUGUUCCAGGAAAUGAAGAAUGGGAGCUGACCCACGAUCGUCUGAUUAAAAUCAUAGCCUCUAACAUGUGUUUAUCUGCAAGAGAUGAGCAUCCAUCUAUGACUUCCUGUAACCCCUCAGAUUCUUAUCAACAGUGGUUCUUUACCCAAGCAACAUAGUGAAGACAAAACCAGGGUCAGCAAGAAAUGUGCCAGCCCAUCUCACUUUGAGACCUUGAUUCCAAACUGCACUCAGGAAAACAGAAGCUAAGACUCUCUCCUUUAUUUAAAAGAAGCUAACGUCUUAAAUAUGCUGCAUUUCACAGUUGCCUUUAAUUCUACUCUGUGCCUUUGGGAUAAGACUGUGUAAUACGUGGAGAUUGUUGUACCACUUUUUCUAAGAGACUAAGCAAACUUCUUGUUUGCAGAUUACGUGAGUGUCAUAUUGUAACAUAUCCAAAGAUAAAUAACAUGGGACCAACUACAUCGAUAACUGCAUGAAUGAUCAAUCCCACUUCCUAAGCCCCGGAAAAUUGGACCACAACCAGUCAGAAUGCAAGGGAUGAGACUGAAUACAACUAAGAAGCGGUGCCAGCUGGCCUUUGAAUAUGUCCCAUGCCAAAGAUAGUACCCAGUGUCCUCUAGUUAUCACAUAGGCUUGCACGCAAAGGCAGAUCAGGAUGCUGCAAGAAGAAAUUGCAGUGUCACGGUCAGGAGACGAUAUCCAUGCUCUCUAGCACAGGCUCUUGUUUAAUGAGAUUUUUAACCUUGAAGGAGGAGAAUAGAUGUGUGCAUUUAAAACAUAACACCAGGGUGCAUUGUUUUGUGAAAUCCAGCCUGUUGCACCAAAUGAAACCUGUGCGUUACCUUGGGAGCUCUUGCCAGCACAAGGAGAUAGUAGUACUAAUUGUGUUGCAAAUGAAAAGGACUUUCUGUGCAGUUAAUCCCCAAAGGAGAGAUGAAUCAUCAUUUACUUGGCCCAUGCAGGGAAGUGGCCUGGUGAUGGUGCUGCUGAGCAUAGACUAGCAGGGGAAAGCCUGUUAUGGCUGAGAGACGGGUACCAUAUGAGCCUGCGAGGAUCAUGU